AGACUUGGUCGUCCGUGGACUCAGUCAGCUGAUGGCACGUCACGAUGCAGCGCGACCACGUGAUCCUGUCACAAGGUUGUUCGCCUUCUUCGUUGGUGCUGCUGAGAGCAUGACUGCCACCAGCAGUGGCGGGGUCCAGGUAGACGUAUGGCAGCGGCAACUCCACGUUCCUCGCUCUGAUGUCACAGCUUAGACGUUUUAGGUCUCUAUGGAAACGCGUUGCAGCCUCCAGGGGACCAGACUCUGAGAAGUACUGCGCCACUGAACCGCCCAGAGGAACCUAAAGGCAGCAGCAGCCAGAUGUCAGGUUAUUACUACCGUUAGAACAGAGCUGCAUCUGACAACCUAUAGAACAUAUGAAACCUAAGCUCCAGUGUAUAAGAGACUGUCAAAUGAAACCUAUGAAACCUAACCUAAACUCCAGUGUCUGACAGUGUCUAUGGAAUGUACGGAACCUAAGCACCAGUGUCUUGCAGAAGGCUAAAUGGAACAUAGAGAAUUUCCAUUGUCUGACAGACAGUUAAAUAGAACAUUUAGAACCUUUGGAACCUAUGGAACCUAAGCUCCAGUGUCUGACAGCAAGUUAAACAGAACCUAUGGAAUCUAAGCUUGUGUCUGACAACAGGUUAAAAUGGAACUUUUGGGACCUAUGGAACCUAAGCACCAGCGUCUGGCAGAUGGUUAAAUGGAACCUAUAUAACCUACUGUCUAGUUUCUGAAAGACAGUAAAACAGAGUCUACGAAACCUAUGAAACCUAGGCUCCAGGUUCUGAAAGACGGUUAAAUGGAAUGUAAGGAACCUAACCUUAACUCUAGUGUCUGACAGACAGUUAAAUGGAACCAGUGGAACCUAAGCUCCAGUGUCUGACAGACUGUUAAACGGAAUGUUUGGGACCCAUGGAACCUAAGCACCAGUGUCUGUCAGAUGGUUAAAUGGAACAUAUAGAACCUACUCUCCAAUCUAUGAAAAACAGUAAAACAGAGGUUAUGGAACCUAAGCUCCAGGUUCUGAAACACAGUUAAAUGGAACCUGCGGAACCUAAGCUCCAAUGUCUGCGAGCACGUUAAACAGAACCUAUGGAACCAGUGGAACCUGAGCCCUAGUGUUUGAUGAUGUCUGCAUUCAUACAAAGUCGGCUGGUUUCUUGCUGAGCAGGUAGACAGUGGCGAGGCCGUGCACGGUGGACUUCACAUCAGGAAAGGCGUCUAUCAGGCUGCGCUCGCUGCAGCCCCCCCUACACACUGGGGGAGGACACUGCAACCCCACAGGAGCAUUUGGCAUCCAGCCAAAAUAAUCCAGCUGCACACAAGGCAACAGUCGGUAAAUAACGCAGCGACCAAAUACAAUGAUCUCAUUAAUCCAGCUCUGCAGCUCAGAGUCUCUAAUGACAUCAUCCUCACCAUGGUAAUGACAGGUUUACAUCAAAACACCUUUGGAUGAUGUCCCACAGCCGCAGACCGUCGUCACGGUAAUAAUAGCCAGGAAUAUUAGCCAGGCCACGCCCAGCGACGUCAUCAGGUAAACACAGGUCCUGAUAGGUGAGCGAGGCUGAUGCCCUCCUCAGAUAUUCCAGUGUAGCAGCUCCACCCACUGCUGUGUACUGAAUAAAUAAUGAGAGAACUUAUGUCCUGCAGAGAAGGUUUACGCUUUUAACAGCCAAGGUUUAUUACAUGCCACGACUGAAAACACUUUAAACAAAUUAUGUUAUGUAAGACUAAUAAAAACACAAAGACCCUGCUCUUCUGUGAAGCUGUUCACAAACCGGCUCACUGAUUUAAGUGUACAGUCUGACCUCUUGGAGUAAUCCUCCAUCAGAGAUCAGCAGCUGCCUAGCCAGAGUGUUGAUCUCCAGAGUGAAACGGAAAUGAGGAGCCAGGAGCUGCAAAACACCAGCCAUGCUGAGAGACACAUCAACCAAUAGCAGCAGCAGGUUGCUGGCCAUUCUCAGCCUGGACUCAAAGGGUCCAGAGGGGGUGCACCAUGGGAAGGUUUCGAAGCGUUGCCAUGGCGAAGAGCUCUGACAUCACAUGUGUCCGCAAAAAGUGAGAACGCAGCUCGUGAUCAGCAAAGUCUGCAGAGCGCACAAAUGUUUUAGCUGUCAGCCAAUCAGCUUCCAGAUCCUGAGGGACGAAGACGGGAUUAGACUCACUUGGAGUCUGCUUCAGCUUGGAAAAGAGACAAGGAAACAAGGCAAGGAAAGGAGGCUUUACAAAGUGUUGGCCGUGAGCCCAUCCAGCAGCCCAUAGUCGACCAGGAACACAUUUCCUGUCUGCAACAGAUAUUUAUGAACCAUGUGAAGGGUCCAGACCCGGCUCCAUCACCUCCAUCUCCUGACGGAGGCUGACUCCUCCCUCCAGCGAUGCCUCCACCAUCUCCUCGGUAACGGCCAGGUUCGCUGGGAUGUUUGUGCACCGGCGAAUUAAAGUAGGGUUGGCCCCAUUCAGAAACUGGUGUCCGAAGAACCAGUCGUCCCUCCAGAACUGUUCCACUAGUCCUGACCCAGAAGUAGGAGAUCAGUAGUUAGUGACAGCUCUGAUAAAUAAGACUGACAAUGUUGAAACAGCUGAGGAGACACUGUGUAUCUCCAGAGGUUAAUGUGUUUAUUGGCUCUGCUCAGUCAUUGCUCUGUUGUGUGUUUUUGGACUGUUUCCUUUUCUUUGGUUUAUCACUCCACUGUUGUUGGACCAAACUUUAUCGCUUAAGUGUUUCUUAUAUGGUUUCAGUUCCUGUCUCGAAAAGGAGAUACAGUAAAACCUUCUAUAUGUAGAGAAACAAAGUGAGUCUCACUGCAAAUUGGGGUCCUGGUCUCCUGACAGAGCUGAUGGAUCUGAUGAAAACUGGACCAGUUCUGCUCAAAGCUCAGGAAGCUUUGCAGACCCAGCUCCACCAAUCUGAGGACAGAGACAAAUGGUGAUGCCACAGGAGACAGGAAGCCACUGCAGAACCCUUCAAAUUAAAGGUUCCAUAGAGAACACCACAUACGCUCUACUGAUGGUCAAAAUCAUGUCAGUCUCUUUGGAAACGGAGAAUCGAACCUCAGCGGGAAGUGACGAAACAUCAUCAGCCUUCAUCAUUUCAGGGAGACCAUCGUCAUAGCAACUCCACCUGUAAACAAAGGUAAAUAAACAAAAUUACACUGUU